GCGCUGUAAAAAAUUUUUUUAAAAAAUAAAUAAAAAACAGCAUGCAAAAUUGCACACAGAAAAUUCCACGAAACAGCGAGGCCACAGUUACAAAUAAUCCUUAUCUUAAUUCUCUGUCAGAAACUCUCUCCCUUUGUUGUCAAGACAAACAAGACUUCUUCUAAUUAAUUAGCCUUCACAAUGGUUUACAAAGCUAAGAUCACCAUAUUAGGAACGUCCCUUGUAAAUGACAUAAUAAAGAACCCAGAACAGAAAAAAGCUGCCUGAAACUGACCAUUUAAGAAGAGUGAGAAGCCUCACACAGAUUACAUGCAGAUGUAACCCGGUAGAGAAAACUGCCUUUGUUAUUUUUUUCUUGUUUUCGCUUUAUUUGUAUAAAUGUAUUUUCAGUCUUUUAUUUUGAAAAGCAACAUUUAUUUUGAAAAAAGGAAGUGUGAUCCUCCAGCAAACUUUAUUUUUCCUGUUGCCGGAUCACAAGGGAUAAAUGCCUUUUUCAUUGGUUGAAGGUGGUUUUAGUCCCGUCUUCCAAAACACCAGACCAUCAUUUCACAUGAGCUAGGUCUUUUCGCACGUGGAAGUAGAUGAGACAGGCCACGGAUAGCUCAUGCGGAAUUUUCUAACAUUUUGGCUAGGUUUUUUUUCCCUUGUUCGUGUGGAAGGAACUAAGAUUCUGGAUUACGAUGGAUUCUCUCCGGAUGGAGAUGGCGAGCCUGAGCCCGGACUGAACUUUGCAGAGGAACUCACUCUUCUUCCUCGACGGAGACUCCCAAGUGGUAACACACAAACCACAAACGGAAGAGAAAAAGAACUAGACUAAGAAUUUCUGACUUGACAAAUGACCAAAGACAAAAAGACAAUUGAACAUUGAGCUCAAAUGACUAUUUUUGGGGUUAUUUUUGUUGCCGGCUUAUUCUGAUUAUUGCUAUUGUUAUUAUUACCAUUACUACUGUCAAUGUGGAAUUUGCGUCUUGUUUAUUUCAUUUUUGUGCAAAAUAAUAACCGUUGCUGCUCAAA